rnacentral:rRNA from 1 species
AUUGAACGCUGGCGGCAUGCUUUACACAUGCAAGUCGAACGGUAACAGGGUGCUUGCACCGCUGACGAGUGGCGAACGGGUGAGUAAUGCGUCGGAACGUGCCGAGUAGUGGGGGAUAACGCAGCGAAAGUUGUGCUAAUACCGCAUACGUACUGAGGUAGAAAGUGGGGGACCUUCGGGCCUCACGCUAUUCGAGCGGCCGACGUCUGAUUAGCUAGUAGGUGAGGUAAAGGCUCACCUAGGCGACGAUCAGUAGCGGGUCUGAGAGGAUGAUCCGCCACACUGGGACUGAGACACGGCCCAGACUCCUACGGGAGGCAGAAGUGGGGAAUUUUGGACAAUGGGCGAAAGCCUGAUCCAGCCAUGCCGCGUGUCUGAAGAAGGCCUUCGGGUUGUAAAGGACUUUUGUCAGGGAGGAAAUCCCUAGUGCUAAUAACACUGGGGGAUGACAGUACCUGAAGAAUAAGCACCGGCUAACUACGUGCCAGCAGCCGCCGUAA